CCUACGGGAGGCAGCAGUAGGGAAUAUUGCUCAAUGGGGGAAACCCUGAAGCAGCAACGCCGCGUGGAGGAUGAAGGUUUUCGGAUUGUAAACUCCUUUUGUUAGAGAAGAUAAUGACGGUAUCUAACGAAUAAGCACCGGCUAACUCCGUGCCAGCAGCCGCGGUCAUACGGAGGGUGCAAGCGUUACUCGGAAUCACUGGGCGUAAAGAGCGCGUAGGCGGGAUAGCAAGUCAGAUGUGAAAUCCUAUGGCUUAACCAUAGAACUGCAUUUGAAACUGUUAUUCUAGAGUAUGGGAGAGGUAGGUGGAAGUCUUGGUGGAGGGGUAAAAUCCGUAGAGAUCAAGAGGAAUACUCAUUGCGAAGGCGACCUGCUAGAACAUAACUGACGCUGAUGCGCGAAAGCGUGGGGAGCAAACAGGAUUAGAUACCCCGGUAGUC
rnacentral:rRNA from 1 species